rnacentral:rRNA from 1 species
UUGACCUCGGAUCAGGUAGGGAUACCCGCUGAACUUAAGCAUAUCAAUAAGCGGAGGAAAAGAAACCAACCGGGAUUGCCCUAG